rnacentral:rRNA from 1 species
CAAUAGCGUAUAUUAAAGUUGUUGCGGUUAAAAAGCUCGUAGUUGGAUUUCUGCCGAGGACGACCGGUCCGCCCUCUGGGUGUGUAUCUGGUUUGGCCUGGGCAUCUUCUUGGAGAACGUAGCUGCACUUGACUGUGUGGUGCGGUGUCCAGGACUUUUACUUUGAGGAAAUUAGAGUGUUUCAAGCAGGCCACUGCCUUGAAUACAUUAGCAUGGAAUAAUGGAAUAGGACUUUGGUUCUAUUUUGUUGGUUUCUGGGACCAAAGUAAUGAUUAAUAGGGAUAGUUGGGGGCGUUAGUAUUUCGUUGCUAGAGGUGAAAUUCUUAGAUUUAUGAAAGACUAACUACUGCGAAAGCAUUCGCCAAGGAUGUUUUCAUUAA